GUCUACGGCCAUACCACCCUGAACGCGCCCGAUCUCGUCUGAUCUCGGAAGCUAAGCAGGGUCGGGCCUGGUUAGUACUUGGAUGGGAGAAAUGGAGUAUAAUUGGCU
rnacentral:rRNA from 1 species